rnacentral:lncRNA from 1 species
UUCGGGGUUUCCUUGCGUUCUUUCCCUCAGGGUUCAGUCUUCCACCCUUGCCCUUUGUCCCACGGUCGCAGGGAACAGGUGCUGUGUUUAGGACCCAGUGGAUGACGAAACUCACCAGAGACCUCAUAGCUAAAGAAUGGCCAGCCUGUGUUUUAAAUCUAGGCAAUCUGGACCCCAGAGCCGUCCAGCCUAAAGUAAAUAUUGCUCUAAGGAUACAGGAAAUCCAUUAGCCCUUAUUAUCCAUUGAGCCAGCAGGAUACUUACUAAGCUUGUGGAGAAGCCAGUGAACACUACAGGCUUGGCCUGCCCCAGAGAGCUGACCUUCUGGGGACCUGAGCAUCUGAGGAACAAAGCCUUUAUAACCCAGGAACUGUGUGGUGCUGCUUCGAAGGUUUAGCAUUUGCUGGAAAAGAAUAAGGAUAUGUGGGUCUACAUUCGUUAUUUAGGAUCAAGUAUCAAAACAAAAUCCCAUAUUAGGCUUUGGCAUAACCCGAAUUUGAAUUAUGGGAGAUAAAUGAUCUUGGCAUUAUACUGGAGUUUUUGGGCGGAAAAAGUACUAUAAAAGGAGACUCUAAGGCAUUGUGUAAUACUAAAACCACUAGUUGAAAAUUAAAACAUUUUAAAAUUCAUAAUAAAAGAUAGUUGCUAUUUCUCUGUAUUCUUUGAAUGGAGUUUAGCCAAAGAUAUAUGUUAUUAGUCAUUUCAGUCAAAGAAAUUGCACCAGUUGCUCAUUUGUGCAGUGAUUAUGUACAGGUUGCAAGUAGGGAUGGCAUUUGUCUGACAGUCUCCCAGCCUGAUUGUUGUUGGUAGUCCUCAUCCUUUCCCCCAGUUCCUGGGAG